rnacentral:lncRNA from 1 species
GAUGGAGUCUUAUUUACAUGUCAGCUGAUGAUUCUCUAAUAAGAGUUGUGUAAUCUUUUGACCUGAGAUCACCAUAGUAUCUUGUAUACAUGAAUCCAUAUUUUAGUUCACUUUCUAACUUAGUUUUUUGAUCCUUAUGUGGGGUGUUCUAGAUAUGGAGGGGUGUACAUGGAGAUUGUGAGUGAUCAAUAAGGGAUCAGUCACUCCUAAUAAGGGGAGCAAACAUCCUA